UACGGAGGGUGCAAGCGUUAUCCGGAAUUACUGGGUUUAAAGGGUGCGUAGGCGGUUAGAUAAGUCAGUGGUGAAAGGUUGCCGCUUAACGGUAGAAUGGCCAUUGAUACUGUUUAACUUGAAUCAGGAUGAGGUUAGCGGAAUGAGACAUGUAGCGGUGAAAUGCAUAGAUAUGUCUUAGAACACCAAUUGCGAAGGCAGCUAGCUAGACCUAGAUUGACGCUGAGGCACGAAAGCGUGGGGAGCGAAC
rnacentral:rRNA from 1 species